rnacentral:rRNA from 1 species
AUACGGAGGAUCCGAGCGUUAUCCGGAUUUAUUGGGUUUAAAGGGUGCGCAGGCGGGAGAUUAAGUCGGCGGUGAAAUUUUGCAGAUCAACUGUAAAAGUGCCUUCGAAACUGGUUUCCUUGGGUGUAGAAGAAGUAGGCGGAAUUUGUGGUGUAGCGGUGAAAUGCAUAGAUAUCACGAGGAACUCCGAUUGCGCAGGCAGCUUACUAAACUACUACUGACGCUCAGGCACGAAGGCGUGGGGAUCAAACAGGAUUAGAUACCCUGGUAGUCCACGCAGUAAACGAUGAUUACUAGCUGUUUGCGAUACAAUGUAAGCGGCUGAGCGAAAGCGUUAAGUAAUCCACCUGGGGAGUACGUUCGCAAGAAUGAAACUCAAAGGAAUUGACGGGG